AUACCACCCAAACCUAUGUCUCUGGGCGGUUCUUAUCAGUUUUCUGUCUGAUGUAUCCUCUGCUUGAGAACUGUAUAUUAAAUGGACUUUUGGGUCUGGGUGAUGGAGUGGAAUUGGGGCUUACUCCAGCCACUCCAUGCAUCAGCCUGGUAUUGCAGUGUCUCCAGGAAUGGUGCACCUCCC